rnacentral:lncRNA from 1 species
GAAAGUCAUAUGGUUUAGGGUAGGCUCGAAUGAAAGAAAGGUUUAAAGACGUGGCGUAUAAAAUGAAUUCACUAAUUGGGAAAUUUUUUUUAAUAGCGUGAAAAUUCACUAAAAUGGGUAUAAAGGAGUGUAGAAUGUGAUUUUAAAUUUUUUUUAAUAGCGUGAAAAUUCACUAAAAUUUCUUUUUUUUACGGAUCUUUCACGUUCUUUUCGUCCGCACCUAGACCGUAUACAAUUUUUUUCUUUUUUUCAAUUUUUUUUAAUUUUUUUUCGAUUUUAUUUUCAAAUUUUUUUUUCACGAGUCUACUUACUCCGACUCUUCUCGAACAUCUGUUCUUCUCGUUUUAACUAGCUCUGAUACCAAAUGAUACGCCCCGGCCUCGUGGAUGAUUCCGAGUCAUUUUUGUUGCCCGAUCGUUCUAACGAUGAAGUUUCG